AUUGAACGCUGGCGGCAGGCCUAACACAUGCAAGUCGAGCGAGCGGCGGACGGGUGAGUCAUGUCUGGGAAACUGCCUGAUGGAGGGGGAUAACUACUGGAAACGGUAGCUAAUAACGCAUACCAUCAGAUGUGCCCAGAUGGGAUUAGCUAGUAGGUGGGGUAACGGCCAACCUAGGCGACGAUCCCUAGCUGGUCUGAGAGGAUGACCAGCCAGACUGGAACGGAGACACGGUCAAGACUCCAACGUGAGGCAGCAGUGGGGAAUAUUGCACAAUGGGCGAAAGCCUGAUGCAGCCAUGCAGCGUGUAUGAAGAAGGCCUUCGGGUUGUAAAGCACUUGCAGCUGGGAGGCGUUACCCGCAGAAGAGGCACCGGCUAACUCCGUGCCAGCAGCGGCGGUAAUUC
rnacentral:rRNA from 1 species